AUAGAGGGACUAUAUAAUUCCCGAAGGUUCUUCGCGGCCAAAACCCCCCAAUUCAUAUCUCAUCAUCUUCCUCCUUCUCUCUGCAUCCAAUUCUCAAUUCUGAAUCAACCAUGUCGCACUUCGGAAGAUCCGGUCCUCCAGACAUCUCCGACACCUACUCUUUGCUCGUCCUCAACAUCACUUUUCGUACAACCCCCGACGACCUAUUUCCUCUCUUUGACAGAUACGGCAAAGUCGUCGACAUCUUCGUCCCCAAAGACAGAAGGACUGGUGAGUCGAGAGGUUUUGCUUUCGUGCGUUAUAAGUAUGCUGAUGAGGCUUCCAAGGCUGUUGAUAGGCUCGACGGAAGAAUGGUGGAUGGUCGUGAAAUAACUGUGCAGUUUGCUAAAUAUGGCCCUAAUGCUGAGAGGAUUCAGAAAGGAAGGAUUAUUGAAACAUCCCCGAGAUCAAAGAGUUCAAGGAGCCGCAGUCCCAGCAGGAGAAGGCACCGUGAUGAUUACAGAGGCAAGGAUUACAGGAGGAGAAGUCGCAGCAGGAGUUAUGAUAGGUACCGCGGCGGGAGAGACAGGGACUAUCGUCGCCGAAGCAGAAGCCGUAGUGCCAGUCCUGAUUACAAGGGGCGUGGAAGGGGACGCUAUGAUGAUGAGCGCCGUAGUGCCAGUCCUGAUUACAAGGAUCGUGGAAGGGGACGCUAUGAUGAUGAGCGCCGUGGUAGAAACCGAAGCAGAUCAGUAGAAAGCCGAUCCCCUGCCCGGCGAAGUCCUAGUCCAAGAAGGAGCCCUUCUCCUAAAAAGAGUAUUUCCCCUCAAAGGAGUACUUCUCCCCUGAAUAGUCCACGCCAUGAAAGUCCUGAUAAUCGUAGCCGCGAUGAAAGGUCUCUUACUCCUCGAAGUGUCUCACCACGAGGUCGCCCUGAUGUUUCCCCAAGCCCAUCUCCUCGAAAUUCAAAUGGUGAUGAGUAAGCGGGUUUUGUGAUAUAUACCAGAGACAACUAUACCUGUUGCUGUCUUGAUAAUUUCAGACGAUUUGUUAUGAUGAUUGGGAGAAGUGACGGAUGCCUGAUAGGUGCAUGUUGAUAUUGUUGCUGUUGAUGCUGUUUUUGUGUCAUUGAUGAUUGUUCGUGAGUUUGGUGCUGGUUGCAAGACUAUGCUGAUUUUAGAACCGAUUGUUUUAUCAGUGUGCUGGUUAGAAUGACACUUAAUUGACUUGAUUUUUGUCGUGAAUGAUCUGAUUUUUGGUAAGCAUUUUUGUUCACUUUCUCUUUUCUUAUAUCUGAUUUUUGAUCUGGUAAUUAUGAUUGGUCUUCAUCGAUUAAAAUUGUUGUGAGAGGGAUUCUUGACGCUGUGAUGGACACAAGUAGAGUGUAUUUUGACGUGGCUGAUGCCUCGUAGGAGUUGGACCUGUCAUUUGUUGAUUCAGACGCAGAUACUAAUUAAAAACAGUGGUACUAAGUAUGAACUCUAAUUUGCUGGUAUUUUACUUUGAAAUUCAAAUCACAGUGAAGGGUCAUUCAAGAUUACUUUUUUAGGGUAUUUUAUUGGAUACCUAUUUAACUUCAACCUUUAAAUGUUUAUAAUAUCUGCUACUUAAUGUAGUGAGAUGCUUGUUGUAGCACACUGCCCCGUGAUUGUAGCAGUGAGGUGGUUGCUGAUCCAUCUAUAAUAUGAAUGAAUGUAUGUGCGUGAAUAAUUUGAAGAAUUAACAAAUGACUGUACCUGAUUGUUGCUGAGGCUGUGUUUGCAUUGUUAUUAGCUGUUGGUAGUUGGUACUGAUGAUGGUUGUUUAGCUGUGCUGCUGGUUUCUGUUGAUUCCAAAGUCGUCUGGCAGAAUUCUUUUCACUAUUAAGCAUGUCUGGUUGAUUCAUCUUUGAUCAAUUGUAUGGGCAUAAUAUCUGUUUUUUUUUU